ensembl:lncRNA
CUCUCCUUUCUCCUCUUUCUCUCGUUUUCUCUCCUCUUUCUUUCUCUCUCUCUCUCUCUCCUUUCUCACUUAUUUUUCUCUUUCUCUCAAAUUCAUUUUUUCCUAAUUCAAGCUGCUUUAUUGGUAUGAAAAACAUUGUCUCACUUUUGCCAAAGCAACAAUGUGUACAAUAUACAUUGUAAUACAAUUAUAAAAAGAUAACAAAUAGUAAUAUAAAAUGGUGGCAAAUGAUAAUACAACAUGAAAUACAAAAAUAACAAGGUAAGUCAGUAGUAGAAAUAUAAUAAAUAAAAAUGGAAAAUGAAACUAAAACUAACUUAUAACUAAAUAACUAAUCUUCACCAUUACAUCAGUACUACAACCACCAUCAUCAUUACCAUCAUCAAAUCAAAAAUCAAAUUGAUUUAUAUAGCCCUCCAUACAUCAGCUGAUAUCUCAAAGUGCUGUACAGAAACCCAAGCUAAAACCCCAAACAGCAAGCAAUGCAGGUGUAGAAGCACGUUGGUAGGAAAAACUCCCUAGAAAGGCCAAAACCUAGGAAGAAACCUAGAGAGGAACCAGGCUAUGUGGGGUGGCCAGUCCUCUUCUGGCUGUGCCGGGUGGAGAUUAUAACAGAACAUGGCCAAGAUGUUCAAAUGUUCAUAAAUGACCAGCAUGGUCGUAUAAUAAUAAGGCGGAACAGUUGAAACUGGAGCAGCAGCACAGUCAGAUGGACUGGGGACAGCAAGGAGUCAUCAUGUCAGGUAGUCCUGGGGCAUGGUCCUAGGGCUCAGGUCCUCUAAGAGAGAGAAAGAAAGAGAGAAGGAGAGAAUUAGAGAACGCACACUUAGAUUCACACAGGACACCGAAUAGGACAGGAGAGGUACUCCAGAUAUAACAAACUGACCCUAGCCCCCCAACACAAACUACUGCAGCAUAAAUACUGGAGGCUGAGACAGGAGGGGUCAGGAGACACUGUGGCCCCAUCCGAUGAUACCCCCGGACAGGGCCAAACAGGCAGAGUAUAGCCCACAAAGAUCUCCACUACGGCACAAGCCAAGAGGGGUUGUGCCUUCCUCUCCCUUUUACACUCUCGCUCCUAUUUUCUAUCUCCUUUUCUCUCUCCUUUUCUCUCUCCCUUCUCCCUCUCUCUCCCUUCUCCCUCUCUCUCCUUUUCUCUCUCCCUUCUCCCUCUCUCUCCUUUUCUCUCUCU